rnacentral:lncRNA from 1 species
GGGGGUUUCCCCGCCCACGCCCUGAGAGACCAUCAACACCGUGCAGGCCGGUCUGUGCUUCACAGGGCUGGCUCCUGCCUUCCUCCUUUGUGAACUCAGGGAUUCAUGGAGCUAAGCCAUCAACACCUGGCUGAGAAGUAGGGCCUCUCCACCUUCCUCCCACUCUGCUCACAAAUGGCCCUGAGGAGUGUCAGAGAUCAAAGGGGCCAGCGCCCUGGCCUUCUGCUGCUCAGCCCCAUAACUGCCCUCAGAGGACGGGAAUUCACACCUGCUGGUGGUGGAGGGGGCCCAAGGUGUGGAGGACUGUGUUGGCUGCGGCAUCAUCUGCAAAGGCCUUGGAGAAGGUUGAACAGAUGUCACUGAAGUCACAUCCCUCCUUCCUUCACUGACAGUUCCCUCCGUGGCUGACACUUAGUGCUGGGUGUCUCCUCCCACUGCCAGGAGGUACAAGCUGCCUGCAGGCUUCCACCAGAGGCAGCUGCUGACAGACAGAUGCUCACACUGCCAAGGGCAGAGAUGCUGCUCCUCUGCCAGCUGCCCCAUCUUGUCUCUCUGCCUGCCCAGGCUCUGGUGCUCACAGUUGAACUUGACAGGUUCUUUUCCAGGCUCCUCAUAAGACUUUUUCCAUCCAAUAUUCAGGCCCCCUUUCCUCCAGGAGCAACCACAGGACCCGGCCACGAGCUCAGCUCUGUUUCUGCACCUGGCAGAAUGCCUGACGUACAGCAGUUGCUUGGGAAACAAAGUUUAGCUGGUGAGUGAACAAAAAGGUGCUGCAAGGCAGUGACCCUCCUGGAUCUCUACACAGCUGCCUGAAACAAAACCCUGCAUGCACCCUGCAAGAGAAUUCUGAAAACCUGGAGCCCACCACACACACACAGAAAUAAAACUCCUCUGCUUGUGCCCCUAAGAGAAUUCUUAAAACUAGGAAGCACCCCCAUUUUGAAAUAAAACUCUGCUUCACUCCCUAAGAGAAUUCUUAUAACUGGGAACCUAGGAACCCCCUCCUAGGUGGGUUCCUAGCGUAGCAUGUGGCUGAAUUCUACACUGUAAAUGUGCUGAGUGCGGCCGAAUUCUACACUGUAAAUGUGCUGAGUGCGGCCGAAUUCUACACUGUAAAUGUGCUGAGUGUGGCCGAAUUCUACACUAUAAAUGUGUUACAUGUGUCUGAAUUUUAUCCUUUGAAAUGGUUAAUGUUAUGUUUCUUUAAUUUCACCUCAAUAAAAAAUUCAUUUAAAAAAAUAUAUUGUGACCGUAAGCCACUAAUUUUGUGUUUUUUAAAUUUUUGCCAUGGAUCCCUUUGGUGAUCUGGUGAAACCCAUAGACCUCUUCUCAGAAUAAUGUCCUUAAAUGCAGAAAGUAAAAUACACAAGAUCAAAAAGGAAAACAAGUGUACCAAAAUACACCCAUCAAAUGAGCUUAAUCAUGGUACAGUCACACAUGUGCCUCUUUAACACAUCGUGCUGGUAUGAUAGAUACCGGUUUUCGUACAAGGCUCCUGGCUCAUAACUCCCACGCCUCUUGUUACAGUCUUUUGUUAUAACCUUGGCUGUGUUAGGUCUCAGGGGCAGCCUCUGACCUCUUGC